CGUUAAAGAGUUCAGCCAAGAUUCCUAAUUCUUUCAAAAUGUUAUUUCUAUUCUCCUAGGGAAAGAGUUCAACAAAGAUCAUUCUCCAAAAUCUCCUUACAUAGCAACGUAUUGAUAAGUGCUUUAAGGAAAAGUUUCGGCCAAGAUUUUCUUUGCAUAGCAACGUGAUUACUUCGAGCUUUUCAUAUAGCUUGUUUUGUGUUUUAUCGCAAUUAACGUGUGUUAGAGGAUUGUCAAGAAAAUCGAUUCAGGUAUGUUAAGACUAUCCCUUCUUUCUUUUGACAUGAUCUAUACGACACGUACAAAAUGAGCAAAUGCACAACUUUCAUAAAUGACUCUAUUCAUAGAAAUAUUAGGGGUGUCUAUAUUCUUGAUUCCCCACGUGAAUUAUUAUUAUAUCUUCUGUUUAUGGGUCUUAGAAAAAUACGUAUUUGAUAAAAUUUAUCCGACAUGCAUAUUCUUUUUAUGACAUUAUGAGAAAAUCGUAUUAACGUAUUUCUUAUGCAUUUCAUACAUUUAUACAUGUACAUUGACCCAUGACCAGAUGGCGUUAUAUACUCGUAUAUAUAUGUAUAUGGGAUAUGGGAAAAGGUUACGGCGUUAUAUACGCACCACCACCUGAUCAACUGGUAUACGUUGAUGAUUUGCCCACAGUGGCCGAAAUGAU
rnacentral:lncRNA from 1 species